UGUAAUUGUGAUAUAAAGAUUUCUUAUUUCAAAAAAUAUUUGAUCUAAUGGAUUAAGUAGUUAAGGAUAUUCCACAAAGAUGCCUGCCAUUUGUUAUAAAAAUACCCUUGUACAAGAGGAUAAUAUCUUGGUGAAAGUGCCUAUGUUCAGACGCGCAAGCACCGGGAUAAAUCUUACCCUUCCCCCCAAUUAGAAAAAUCAGAUGCCGUUCCCAACUCAAUAGAACUCAUAAACCUUUACCCGAUAGCAAAUUUUUUUAAUGGAAUCACACAAAUUUCAUCCAACAAAAAUUUGAUGAAGAAUUUCAUAAGAGACGUAGACAGUCAAUUAUGAAAAAAAUGGGAGGAUCUUCGUUAAGAUCUUUAUUUAAGGCAAAGGAUAGCAAUAGCCACUCUUAGAGCCAAUUAUGUUUGUUUUAAAUUUUAUUAAUGAAUAGUAUUCUCUCAAGUAAAUAAAUAUCCUUGUUUAAUAAAGCUGAUAAAAAAUUAUUAUUGAAUUAAUAUAUUUUUAUAAAUUAUAGUUCAAUAAAUAUAUUGAAAUACUAAUAUUUCUAUUAAGAAAUAAGAUUCUUUAGGUUCUGAUGUAAGAACUCUUAUCUUAUCCCCUAUAUUUUUUAAAAACUUUAAAGUUCCACUUGGCAUAUGUCCAAGGGAAGAGAUGACAAUCGGUGUAAAAAUAUAAUUUGUGAAUUUGGAAUAUUUCAUUGUUUUUUUUUCUCGGCUAUAUCAACCGGAUUAGAAUUUAAAAUAUAAUUACACAUGUUUUUUGGGAACUUGUAGUCCCACCUCGGUUUUUAUAUAAUAUUUUAUUUAUUUUAUUUUAUAUUAUUUUAAUUUAGUAUUUUAACGCUAUGUAUUAUUUUACACGAAAGGAAAAAAUAAAGAAUUAUUAAUAUUUCUAUUUAUAGCUAACAAAUAAAAAAUCAAAAAUUAUAUUAAAAAUUUUUUUUUAUACUAAUUUAUAUUAUUUUGAUUUUUUUAAAAAAUUUUCAUCGCUACAAAAACUUUGGAUUGGAUUUAACUAGGUAGAGAUAGUGUUGUUAACAAGACACAAUUCGCGAACCCUACUCAAAAUUUAGGUCGAUUUUUCUACCUCGACCCAAGUAAUAGCUAAAGGUAGAUCUCGACUUAAAAUCUGGAUCGCUUUUUUUUUUGAAUUUGACUUAAAGUUUGGGACGGCUUUAUUACCAUUUUGACCCAAUGUAAUGGUCGUUUUUCAAACUCGUCGUAAAAUAUAUAUUCUAUUUUUUUAAUCUGACCCAAAGUUGGUGUCUUUUUUCUUUGGCCCGACUCAGAAUUCGAACCUAGCUCAAUUAUGGUAUAAAUUUUAUAUUUCUAAUUAAGUUUAUAAAAUGAAUAUAUAUCUAUUUUGAAUGGGUUAAAUUAAAUAAAAUAUAGGUUUUGGAAGAAAAUGAAUCACGAGCAUUUAA